rnacentral:rRNA from 1 species
GUAGGUGGCAAGCGUUGUCCGGAAUUAUUGGGCGUAAAGCGCGCGCAGGCGGUCCUUUAAGUCUGAUGUGAAAGCCCACGGGCUCAACCGUGGAGGGUCAUUGGAAACUGGGGGACUUGAGUACAGAAGAGGAAAGCGGAAUUCCACGUGUAGCGGUGAAAUGCGUAGAGAUGUGGAGGAACACCAGUGGCGAAGGCGGCUUUCUGGUCUGUAACUGACGCUGAGGCGCGAAAGCGUGGGGAGCAAACAGGAUUAGAUACCCUGGUAGUCCACGCCGUAAACGAUGAGUGCUAAGUGUUAGGGGGUUUCCGCCCCUUAGUGCUGCAGCUAACGCAUUAAGCACUCCGCCUGGGGAGUACGGCCGCAAGGCUG